rnacentral:rRNA from 1 species
CCUACGGGUGGCUGCAGUAGGGAAUCUUCCGCAAUGGACGAAAGUCUGACGGAGCAACGCCGCGUGAGCGAAGAAGGUCUUCGGAUCGUAAAGCUCUGUUGUUAGGGAAGAACAAGUACGGGAGGAAAUGACCGUACCUUGACGGUACCUGACGAGGAAGCCGCGGCUAACUACGUGCCCGCAGCGGCGGUCAGACGUAGGUGGCAAGCGUGGUGCGUAAUUUGCUGGCGUAAAGCGCGCGCAAGGGGUCCUUUAAGUCUGAUGUGAAAUCUUGCGGCUGCAACGCAAGCGAUCAUUGGAAACUGGGAGACUUGAGUGCAGGAGAGGAAAGCGGAAUUCCAAGUGUAGCGGUGAAAUGCGUAGAGAUGUGGAGGAACACCAGUGGCGAAGGCGGCUUUCUGGUCUGUAACUGACGCUGAGGCGCGAAAGCGUGGGGAGCAAACAGGAUUAGAUACCCGUGUAGUC